GGGAGCUUGUACAGGUGCUGCAUGGCUGUCGUCAGCUCGUGUCGUGAGGAUGUUCGGUUAAGUCCGCUAACGAGCGCAACCCUCGCUGUGUGUUACAAGUGUCACACGGAACUGCCGGUCAUAAACCGGAGGAAGGUGGGGAUGACGUCAAGUCAGCAUGGCCUUUAUAUCCUGGGCUACACACACGCUACAAUGGGAAGGGACAAUAGGUUGCGAAGCCGCGAGGCGGAGCCAAUCCAGCAAAACUUCCCUCAGUUCAGAUUGCAGGCUGCAACUCGCCUGCAUGAAGUUGGAGUUGCUAGUAAACGCAGGUCAGCCAUACUGCGUUGAAUACGUUCCCGGGGCUU
rnacentral:rRNA from 1 species